rnacentral:rRNA from 1 species
CGAACGCUGGCGGCGUGCCUAAUACAUGCAAGUAGAACGCUGAAGGAGGAGCUUGCUUCUCCGGAUGAGUUGCGAACGGGUGAGUAACGCGUAGGUAACCUGCCUGGUAGCGGGGGAUAACUAUUGGAAACGAUAGCUAAUACCGCAUAAGAGUAGAUGUUGCAUGACAUUUGCUUAAAAGGUGCAAUUGCAUCACUACCAGAUGGACCUGCGUUGUAUUAGCUAGUUGGUGAGGUAACGGCUCACCAAGGCGACGAUACAUAGCCGACCUGAGAGGGUGAUCGGCCACACUGGGACUGAGACACGGCCCAGACUCCUACGGGAGGCAGCAGUAGGGAAUCUUCGGCAAUGGACGGAAGUCUGACCGAGCAACGCCGCGUGAGUGAAGAAGGUUUUCGGAUCGUAAAGCUCUGUUGUAAGAGAAGAACGAGUGUGAGAGUGGAAAGUUCACACUGUGACGGUAUCUUACCAGAAAGGGACGGCUAACUACGUG